rnacentral:rRNA from 1 species
GACAGAGGGUGCAAACGUUGUUCGGAAUUACUGGGCGUAAAGGGCGCGUAGGCGGUUCGUUAAGUCCUGUGUGAAAUCCCCCGGCUCAACUGGGGAACUGCACAGGAAACUAGCGGGCUUGAGUUCGGGAGAGGGAAGCGGAAUUCCGGGUGUAGCGGUGAAAUGCGUAGAUAUCCGGAGGAACACCGGUGGCGAAGGCGGCUUCCUGGACCGACACUGACGCUGAGGCGCGAAAGCUAGGGGAGCAAACGGG